CCUACGGGUGGCAGCAGUAGGGAAUAUUGGUCAAUGGGGGAAACCCUGACCCAGCAAUGCCGCGUGAGUGAUGAAGGUCUUCGGAUUGUAAAGCUCUUUUGUUAGUGACGAUAAUGACGGUAUCUAACGAAUAAGCACCGGCUAACUCCGUGCCAGCAGCCGCGGUAAUACGGAGGGUGCAAGCGUUACUCGGAAUAACUGGGCGUAAAGAGCGCGUAGGCGGGAUAGCAAGUCAGAGGUGAAAUCCUAUGGCUUAACCCUAGAACUGCAUUUAUGACUGUUAAUCGAGAGUAUGGGAGAGGUAGGUGGAAUUCUUGGUGUAGAGGUAAAAUCCGUAGAUAUUAAGUGGAAUACUCGUUGCGAAGGCGACUAGCUAGAACAUAACUGACGCUGAGGCGCGAAAGCGUGGGGAGCAAACAGGAUUAGAUACCCUAGUAGUC
rnacentral:rRNA from 1 species